GAGACUGUAGUUCAGUGGAAGAACACUUGCCUAGCAUGUGUGAGGGCCCUGAGUUCGAUCCUCAGCACCACA
rnacentral:tRNA from 1 species